rnacentral:misc_RNA from 1 species
AAAGUCGUAACAAGGUAACCGUAGGUGAACCUGCGGUUGGAUCAUUAAUAAUGUUUUGUACCUGUAACAUCCUUGAUUUUUGAUCAAGGUAUGUGUACUAACAAAUUUUGUGUGAUAUGUUUUCUGUUUCUCGUGAAUCGAGUGAAGUAGUCCUUGUUAUAUGCCUGAUGGCCCAUAAGAAGGAAGAUACUACAUCCUGUGCAGUGCUUUACUAGCAUUGCACUGGUUCAUGAAAGGACUUGAAGCCAGCAAUGGCUUUUGUCCGAAACAAACAUCUAAAUUUUUCUGUUUUAUGUCUUAAUAUUUUCUAGCACAUUUAUUGUGAGAAAUUUUAAAACAACUUUUGACAACGGAUCUCUUGGUUCUC